UACGUAGGGUGCAAGCGUUAUCCGGAAUUAUUGGGCGUAAAGAGCUCGUAGGCGGUUUGUCGCGUCUGCUGUGAAAACUGGAGGCUCAACCUCCAGCCUGCAGUGGGUACGGGCAGACUAGAGUGCGGUAGGGGAGAUUGGAAUUCCUGGUGUAGCGGUGGAAUGCGCAGAUAUCAGGAGGAACACCGGUGGCGAAGGCGGGUCUCUGGGACGGUACUGACGCUGAGACGCGAAAGCGUGGGGAGCGAACAGG
rnacentral:rRNA from 1 species